GAGAGCCCUCUACAGGGACGUCAUGCAGGAGAACUACGAGACGGUGACCUCGCUGGGAUUCCCCUUUCCCAAACCUGACCUAAUCACCCAGCUGGAACGAGGGGAAGAGCCGUGGGUGCCCGAUCUCCAGGCCUGCGAGGAAAGAGAGAUCUCAAGAGGUGCCCACACAGGUAACGAGCCAGUGAGUGAGAAAAAGGAG